rnacentral:rRNA from 1 species
CGCUUCUUUUUCCACCGGAGCUUGCUCCACCGGAAAAAGAGGAGUGGCGAACGGGUGAGUAACACGUGGGUAACCUGCCCAUCAGAAGGGGAUAACACUUGGAAACAGGUGCUAAUACCGUAUAACAAUCGAAACCGCAUGGUUUUGAUUUGAAAGGCGCUUUCGGGUGUCGCUGAUGGAUGGACCCGCGGUGCAUUAGCUAGUUGGUGAGGUAACGGCUCACCAAGGCGACGAUGCAUAGCCGACCUGAGAGGGUGAUCGGCCACAUUGGGACUGAGACACGGCCCAAACUCCUACGGGAGGCAGCAGUAGGGAAUCUUCGGCAAUGGACGAAAGUCUGACCGAGCAACGCCGCGUGAGUGAAGAAGGUUUUCGGAUCGUAAAACUCUGUUGUUAGAGAAGAACAAGGAUGAGAGUAACUGUUCAUCCCUUGACGGUAUCUAACCAGAAAGCCACGGCUAACUACGUGCCAGCAGCCGCGGUAAUACGUAGGUGGCAAGCGUUGUCCGGAUUUAUUGGGCGUAAAGCGAGCGCAGGCGGUUUCUUAAGUCUGAUGUGAAAGCCCCCGGCUCAACCGGGGAGGGUCAUUGGAAACUGGGAGACUUGAGUGCAGAAGAGGAGAGUGGAAUUCCAUGUGUAGCGGUGAAAUGCGUAGAUAUAUGGAGGAACACCAGUGGCGAAGGCGGCUCUCUGGUCUGUAACUGACGCUGAGGCUCGAAAGCGUGGGGAGCAAACAGGAUUAGAUA